rnacentral:rRNA from 1 species
AGCUCCAAUCGCGUAUAUUAAAGUUGCUGCAGUUAAAAAGCUCGUAGUUGCAUUUCCGAGGCAAGGGAUUAGUCCGACCUUUGGUGGGUAUUUAAUCCUCUUGCCUCGUCCUUGAGUGGUGCUUCUUGGUAUUAAGUUAUCGAGGAGAUAGCCGCUCAUCGUUUACUGUGAGAAAAUUAGAGUGUUCAAAGCAGGCUUAUGCCGUUGAAUAUAUUAGCAUGGAAUAAUAAGAUAGGACCUCGGUACUAUUUUGUUGGUUUGAGAACCAAGGUAAUGAUGAAUAGGGACAGUUGGGGGUAUUCGUAUUCAGUUGUCAGAGGUGAAAUUCUUAGAUUUACGGAAGACGAACUACUGCGAAAGCAUUUACCAAGGAUGUUUGCA